rnacentral:lncRNA from 1 species
ACGAGGCAGCUGCUAAUAAAACAAUUCAGACAAGACCUUAAUUUCUCACACUGACAGAAAACAAGGAACUGGGAGCUCGUGAGUAAGCAGCCUGCAAACAUCUGCUGAGACCCAGACGGAUGAGGCUGUACCUCCAGCAAACCAGGGUCUGGCUGAUACUUGUAAAGCGAAUAACUCGAAGACCGACUAAAAAUGUCACGGGUAAAUCUAUACCAACAGGCCACAACACUUGGCCAAAGGACUUGCCAUGCUGGUUUUGAGAAGAGCCCUAUUUGUUUACUAUUUUGGUUGAAGGACAAGAAAAUAAGCUCUGAUACAGUUCCAGAGAGCAAGGGUCACAGUGAGAAAGGGCAACUUCCGUAAUGAGGAGGAGAUCCAAAAUGUAAAACUUAAACAACAUAACAGUAACCGGAUUAUCACCCGGGAGCCCGAGGAGGUACUCUGCUUUGAUUUGGAGUCAGAUGUGAGAACUUCUGAGCCCUCGUCAUGGGGCCAGAAGAUGCCUGAAUGUACACGCAGAGGCGGCCAGGUGGACCAGUGCUAUAAAACUAAAGACAUCGCUGCGCUGAGAGAAGACAAUCCCAAAGGCCUUCUUCGAGGCCUAGGAGUCUACAAUUUACCUAGAAAAGAAUUACAGUUCUCUGUAAUUUCCUCUCUAAAAAGGAAAAAAAAAGUCUUUUUUUUUCACAUUGAGCAGG